rnacentral:rRNA from 1 species
GACGAACGCUGGCGGCGUGCUUAACACAUGCAAGUCGAACGGUAAGGCCCUUCGGGGUACACGAGUGGCGAACGGGUGAGUAACACGUGGGUGAUCUGCCCUGCACUUCGGGAUAAGCCUGGGAAACUGGGUCUAAUACCGGAUAGGACCACUGCCUGCAUGGGUGGUGGUGGAAAGCUUUUGAGGUGUGGGAUGGGCCCGCGGCCUUUCAGUUUGUUGGUGGGGUGAUGGCCUACCAAGGCGACGACGGGUAGCCGGCCUGAGAGGGUGACCGGCCACACUGGGACUGAGAUACGGCCCAGACUCCUACGGGAGGCAGCAGUGGGGAAUAUUGCACAAUGGGCGCAAGCCUGAUGCAGCGACGCCGCGUGAGGGAUGACGGCCUUCGGGUUGUAAACCUCUUUCAGCACCGACGAAGCGCAAGUGACGGUAGGUGCAGAAGAAGGACCGGCCAACUACGUGCCAGCCGCCGCGGUAA